CCUCGACCAAACCCUGCCCCCCCACCUGUUUUUGUAAAUAAAGUUUUGUUGGAACACAGCCACUCCUUGCCGGCUGUCCCCCCUUAUCUGUGGUUUCACUUUCUGCAGCCUCAGUUACCCGGGGUCAACCGCGGUCCGGAAGUAAAUGAUCCUCCCUCUGGAAUUAUUAGAAGGUCAACAGCAGCCUACCCCUGCUACAUCUCAGUGCCUGGGUCAUUCACCUCACUCCAUCUCAUCACAUAGGCAUUUCAUCAUCUCGCCUCAUCACGAGAAGAAGGGUGCGUACAGUACAAGAAGGUUCCUGGCACACAACUUCUAAGACCCUUGGAAUUUCCUAAGUGGCAGGAGCUAUAAAGUGCUUUUUGUUAUGUUCAUGAGGUGACUUUUGGAACGCCCCCAGGUUACCUAUGGAAGGCUGUCCUCUGUUCCGUGUGCUAUUUCCUAACAACAUGUGCAAGCAUGUCUACCUUGGGGAUAACUUCCUAGAAGUGACAUUUCUGGACCAAAGGAUGUGUGCAUUUUUAAGGUCACCAAAUUGCUCUUCUAGAGGUUGCCCCAGUUCAUCCUCCUUUCCCCACUCCUGCACCAUCCCAGCGUGUGAUCAAGGACAUAUCUACUGACUUCCCCGCUAGUGCCCCUGGUCCCCCCUUCUUUCAGGGUCACGAGCCACCACCCCACUGAGCCUUGUUUCAGGCCCUUUUGAGAUUCCCCUCCCGAGGAUCCUCCUCUCCUCCAUACCGGCCUCCACAGAGUCAGCAGGAAAGAUUUUUCUCAAACAGCCGCUCCUCAGGCUUGGAACUCUCCGGGGACUCCACGUCACCCAUCAUUGUGCUGUGUCUCAACAGGAGUUCGCCAGUGAUUUGCUUUUGAAAACUGAUGAAAGCAGCUGCAAGGGUACUCCAGUGCGUCAGUUUGGGCUCCCCCGGAAGUGGGCCGGAGACUGGGAUUUCAGGGAAAGUACAGUGGUCUAUCGCUGGCCAUCCAGGAACACAAGUCCGAGAGCAAGAAAGGAUAAGGGAAAGGAAGACCGAAUAAAGGGCACGUUAUCAAGCUAGUUUACCACUGUGGGUUAACCAGAGCUUAUCCUCCUGGAGGACUCCGGGGGGCUGGCGUAGCACCUGGGAGGUGGAGAGCUGGGCGCUAUGCACCAGCACCCAUGGACAACUGGUUGAGAGCCGCUCUGACUUUCUACGUGAGUGGGCAGCGCCACGGAAAGUUCUCAGGUAAAGAGACGCAAGAACCGGCAUCCGGCAGCUGGCCCUGUUUGCUAGACCAGUAAAGGCCAGGAGACUGACAGCCUCUGCUUCACCCUGUCAUUGUGUCUCCCCAUUGUGUCCUCUUGAGUGAAUAAGAGAAAGGAAGAGUUGCAACUGGUGCAGGGAAAUUUGCACCCCAGCUGCUCAUCUCGUUGUAGCCACAGGCCUUGCGCCUUUCCACAGCUCAUUCUGCCUUCUCCUUACACCCGCUUCCGGAUUUUCCUUGGAGGAAUCGCAGCCAAUGCCCGCCCCAUCCUCAUUCCCUGCGGUUGGGGUGGAGUUGGCCCCGCCCCUCAGAUAAAGGCUGGUCACAUGAUUCGGGCCUGGCCAAUCAGCAGAUACCAUUCUGCUGGCCAUUGAAAUUGGUUCAAAGAUAAUAAGAUAGUAACAAGGAUCCCCACUGAAGGUCUUCUGUAGACUUUGGCUGCUGCUUCUGGGAAGGUGGGGCUCUUUUCCUCCAGGGUUUGUGAGUGUGGAGCUGCUGGCCACUCUCCUGUUGUUAGAGGUGUGUGUGUGUGUGUGUGUGUGUGUGUACGUGUGUGUGUGUACGUGUGUGCGUGCGUGUGUGUGUCCAUGGUUGUUGCCUGAGAGCCACUCAGGGAAAACCCAGAAAAGAAGGGGAGACUGAUUAUUGGUGACACCUUGAGCCCUGGAUGCAGUCAAGCCUAAAAUGAGAUCCACCUGGGACCGUUCAGAUACCAGGGCAAAUUAAGUGCCGUUUGUAGCUUCAGCCAGUUUGAGAUGGGCUUCUGUUGCUUACAGCCAAUGGAGUGCCAACCAGGGCACCAAGGCACCUUGACAGAUGUCAUUGAGAAUAAUUGUGGGGCUUCUCUUGCCUGAAUGUUUUGGAGAGGACCGUCAAUCUGGGUCUCCAGUGGGGGUAUUUUCCUCAAGGGAGCCAGGACAGCAAAGAUGGGAGAUACAGGCUAAAGGGGCUCCUGCCUGGCUCCUGCCUCAAGUGCACCAUGUUUCUCCGUUCUGUCCUUCCUUCUCCACACCCUGGCCACACCAGGCUCCUCACCCUUUCCCACUCAUGUUCUGGGUCUUGAUCCUGCCCUUCCUGGGGAUCCCCAUACCUCCCCCUUCCCACCUGCCCCAGCUCAAAUAUACCCUUUUUUGCAAGGCCUGCCUGGACAAGACUCCAAACAGAAUGCUUUUUCCCCUCCUCCUGUGCUCCUGCUGUCUCUAUCCUUCUAUUUAAUGCAGAGUUUGGGGUUCCUAGGUGGCUCAGUCAGUUAAGUGAUGGACUUCUGCUCAGGUCAUGACCUCACACUUCGUGUGUUCAAGGCCCGCAUCUGGCUCUGUGCUGGCAGCUCAGAGCCUGGAGCCUGCUUUGGAUUUUGUGUCUGUCUCUCUCUCUCAGCCCCUCCUCUGCUCAUGCUCUGUCUCUCUCUCUCUCUCUUUCUCUCUCUCUCUCAAAAAUAAAUAAACAUUAAGAAAAUAAUAACUUUUAAAGCAGAGCCUGGUGCUCACUAUGAUCAUUCAUUCACUCAUUCUUAUAGCAGUUACCUACUGAGCAUCUUCUGUGCUUACAGAAUGGUUUUGUGCAUUAGGAGUACAGCAAAGGACAAUACAGACCAAAAUCGAUCAUCCUGGAGCUUAAAUUCUAUUAGGGGAUCGGACAAUAAAAAUCAGUAAAUAAGUAAACUACAAAUGGUAUACCUGAGAGUAAGUACUAGAAAGAAAAAUCAAACAGGGAAGGAGGAUAGAGAGAGCUGGAAUGUGGCCAGAGAAAGUCCUUCUGCGAACAUAGCAUCAGAGCAAAGGCCUGAAGGGGAUUGGGAAGUAUAGUAGAUUGAAUGGUGGCCCCCAAAAUAUAUGUCCACGUCCUAGUCCCCAGAACUUGUACAUGUAAUCUUAUUUGGAAAAAGGUUUUUCCAGAACUGUUAGAGAAGGCAUCUCUGUUGUUAGGGCACCAAAUUUGUGGCAAUUUGCUAUAGCAGACUUAGGAAACAUAAAGGAAAUAAACCGUGUGGGAAUCUGGGGAAGAAUGUUCCAGAAAGAGAGACUCUCAAGGACAAGGACUCUGAGGCAGGGACCAGGGUUGGUGGGUUUAUGAAAGAGCAAGGGGCCAGAACAGCUGGAGCGUACUGAACAGGGCAGCAUGGUGGGAGGUGAGGUCAGAGGUUUAGGGGACUAGAUCGUGAGAAUAUGAAGGGCUUUGUUGGCUUUUACCUUGAGCGAGGCAGAGCCAAGAGACGGUUUCAGCAGAGGAGUGACGUGACUGGACUUACAGCUUAAAUAAAUGAAGGAAUAAAUGAAUGCAUAGCAGCCACCAUAUCACAUCCUGGUUAUGUCUAUGCCUGUCUAUGCUGCUAAGCUAUGAGCGACAUGAGAGUAGGGACUCUGUCUUAAAUUUUUUUGUAUCCCUAGGGUUCAACACUAAUCAUGCCUGUCCUGGCUUUUCCUGGCCUACCAAUCAAUAAGAAAAGACCAAAAAAAUAGGCAAAAGAAAUAUUCAAGGUUAGGAAACAUAGGAAGAGACUGGUUCAGUUGCUUUCUUAGGUAUUCACCCAGGAGAAUGAAAGCAAUGGGUCACAAAAAGACUUGCAUAUGAAUGUUUAUAGCAGCUUUAUUCAUAAACAAAAAUGUCAGCAGCCCAGGUAUUCAUCAAUAAGAGAAUAUAUAUUUGGAUAGUCAUACAAUGGAUAUUGAAUAUGCUAUUCAAUAAUAAAGCAAUAUAUGCUGAAUUUAUUCAACACCACUCAACAAUUAACUAUUGCAAUGACCUAGAUAAAUCUCACAGAAAUAAUAUGAGAUGAAAGAAGUCAGACACAAGCAAGUACAAACUUUAGGGUCCCAUUGAUAGGAAGUUCCAGAAUAGACAAAACUAAUCUGUGGUGGAAAUGUAAAUACUGUGGUUGCCUCUGGAGGAUGGGGGCAGAGAUUGACUAGUUAGGCACGAAAGGGAAUUUUCUGGGGGUUGCAAUCUAUAUCAUGAUAGAGAUCUGGGUUACACAAAUGUAUGCAUUGUCACAACUAAUCAAAUGAUACACUUAUGAUUUUUGCAUUACCCUAUGAGCAUUUUACAGAAAGCAGAAAAAAAAAAAGAAUCCUAAGCAAAUAUUGAACUCUAGGUAAUGAUAUGCAUGCUCCAGUGUUUAGGGAGGAAGUGUACUGAUACCUGUAACUUACUCUGAAAUGUGCCCCCCAAAAUAAGAAUUGAUGGAUGAAUAGAUCAAUAUGUGCUAAACCAAGCCUGGUAAAAUGUUAAUUGUAGGACUACAUGGUGGGUAAGUGGGUGUUCGCUGUACAAUUCCUCCUACUUUUCUGUAUGCUGAAAUUUUCUUAAUAAAAUGUUUUAGGGGUCAAAAAGAGGCUCAGUGAUCAGAGAUGUGCAGAUUAUGACACUCAGUCCUCCACCUAUCGGAUCAAAUUACAAUGAGACUGUCUUCCAAGCACUGGAUUGCAAAAAUGUUCAAGACUAGUGAUACCCAGUGUAUGCGAGGGUGUGGGGAUUCUCAUAUACUGUAGAUGGACGGGACUAUGACAGUGCCCCUGCCAAAGCCCUUGGCCUGGAUGCCCUGUGAGCUUCCUUCCUGUCCCCGAGUGGCUCGUCCUUUACAUACAAUGUAUACAAUGUUGUAUCCUGUUUUCUACUCAGCAUUAGAUUAUCAACAUUCCCCAACUUCUUUAAACAGUCUUUGUAAACAUUGUACUUAAAAGAAAAGAGGCAUU